ACGGUGUAUCCCCCCUCUCAACGCAUCGCAUCAAAUCUCCGCAGUGCAAGACGAGGUUCGAGUAUGUGUGGUCCCCUGUAUAAUUAACGCUUGCAGAAUAGCUCAAGUUCAGGCAAGUACCGGUCUUAUUGCGAAGAAGCCGAAGAAGAUAUCUGUAUAAGUAUGAACGUGAAAGAUCAGAAUUCACCGAGUCAAAACGCUGGCCAGCACAGCCCAGCCAGUGCUUUGUACGUCGGCGAUGAACAUGCCCAACUGUCACCGUCAACGCUUGACUUACUUGGCG